CUUGCCAACAUUUCCAGUAGGCGCAUACCAGACAUUAUUAAUUUUUUUAUAGUAUAUGCCUUCAACGAGCAAAAUCUACUCAGGAACUGAUCUAUUAACUUCUACAAGCUAUUUAAAAUCUUGUUAAUCUUGUACACGUGAUGAUAACUUAACCCACUCUUUACAACCUGACACAUUUACUUUGCUACUCAAAGUGAGGAAUGAUCUAAUUCUAAGCAAACAGCAAAAGGUUUGUUAAAA